rnacentral:tRNA from 1 species
GAGGAAGUAGCUCAAUUAGGUUAGAGCAUCGGUCUGUGGCACCGAGGGCUGUGGGUUCAAGUCCCAUUUUCCUCCCA